rnacentral:rRNA from 1 species
UACGUAGGGUCCGAGCGUUGUCCGGAAUUACUGGGCGUAAAGAGCUCGUAGGUGGUUUGUCGCGUUGUUCGUGAAAACUCACAGCUUAACUGUGGGCGUGCGGGCGAUACGGGCAGACUAGAGUACUGCAGGGGAGACUGGAAUUCCUGGUGUAGCGGUGGAAAUGCGCAGAUAUCAGGAGGAACACCGGUGGCGAAGGCGGGAUCUCUGGGCCGAUACUGACGCUGAGGAGCGAAAGCGUGGGGAGCGAACAGG